rnacentral:rRNA from 1 species
GUAGGGAAUUUUCCACAAUGGACGAAAGUCUGAUGGAGCAACGCCGCGUGAACGAUGAAGGCCUUCGGGUUGUAAAGUUCUGUUGUCAGGGACGAACAAGUACCGUUUGAACAAGGCGGUACCUUGACGGUACCUGACGAGAAAGCCACGGCUAACUACGUGCCAGCAGCCGCGGUAAUACGUAGGUGGCAAGCGUUGUCCGGAAUUAUUGGGCGUAAAGCGCGCGCAGGCGGCUAUGUAAGUCUGGUGUUAAAGCCCGGGGCUCAACCCCGGUACGCAUCGGAAACUGUGUAGCUUGAGUGCAGAAGAGGAAAGCGGUAUUCCACGUGUAGCGGUGAAAUGCGUAGAGAUGUGGAGGAACACCAGUGGCGAAGGCGGCUUUCUGGUCUGUAACUGACGCUGAGGCGCGAAAGCGUGGGGAGCAAACAGG